rnacentral:rRNA from 1 species
GACGGAGGAUGCAAGUGUUAUCCGGAAUCACUGGGCGUAAAGCGUCUGUAGGUGGUUCAAUAAGUCAACUGUUAAAUCUUGAGGCUCAACUUCAAAAUGGCAGUCGAAACUAUUAGACUAGAGUAUAGUAGGGGUAAAGGGAAUUUCCGGUGGAGCGGUGAAAUGCGUAGAGAUCGGAAAGAACACCAACGGCGAAAGCACUCUGCUGGGCCGACACUGACACUGAGAGACGAAAGCUAGGGGAGCGAAUGGG